rnacentral:rRNA from 1 species
UACAGAGGUCUCGAGCGUUAGGCGGAAUCACUGGGCUUAAAGCGUGUGUAGGCGGAUCGGUAAGUACCUUGUGAAACCCCACAGCUUAACUGUGGAACUGCUUGGUAUACUGCCAGUCUUGAGCCACUUAGGGGCUACCGGAACAAAUGGUGGAGCGGUGAAAUGCAUAGAUACCAUCCAGAACCCCGAUUGCGAAGCAGCUGCCUAGACUGUUACUGACGCUGGAGGCACGAAAGCGUGGGGAGCGAACAGG